rnacentral:rRNA from 1 species
GGGCAAGCCAACCACAGAAAAGCCAUCUCAGUUCGGAUUGUAGUCUGCAACCCGACUACAUGAAGCUGGAAUCGCUAGUAAUCGCAGAUCAGAAUGCUGCGGUGAAUACGUUCCCGGGUCUUGUACACACCGCCCGUCACACCAUGGGAGUUGGAAAUGCCCGAAGCCAGUGACCCAACCGUAAGGAGGGAGCUGUCGAAGGUGGAGCCGAUGACUGGGGUGAAGUCGUAACAAGGUAAC